rnacentral:rRNA from 1 species
UAUAUAAAGUCUAACCUGCCCACUGAAACAUUAAAGGGCCGCGGUAUAUUGACCGUGCGAAGGUAGCAUAAUCAUUAGUCUUUUAAUUGAAGGCUGGAAUGAAUGGUUGAACAAAAAAUAGUCUGUCUCAUUAUUAAAAUUAAAAUUUGACUUUUAAGUGAAAAGGCUUAAAUAUUGUAGAAUGACGAUAAGACCCUAUAAAGCUUAAUAUUACAAAAAUAAUUAAUAAUUUACACUUUAAAAUUAUUUAUUUCCAAAAUAUUGUGUUGGGGCGACAAAAAUAAAAAUUGUAACUGUUUAUUUAUUAAAAACUUGCAAUAAAAGAAAAAUGAUCCUUUUAUAAAGAUUAAAAGAUGAAGUUACUUUAGGGAUAACAGCGUAAUCUUUUUUAAGAGUUCAUAUCGACAAAAAGACUUGCGACCUCGAUGUUGAAUUAAGAAAUCCUUUUAGUGCAGCAGCUAAAAAGGAAGGUCUGUUCGACCUUUA